CGUGCAGGCGGUUUGGUAAGUUGGAUGUGAAAGCUCCCGGCUCAACUGGGAGAGGCCGUUCAAAACUACCAGACUAGAGGACGGUAGAGGGAGGUAGAAUUCCCGGUGUAGUAGUGAAAUGCGUAGAUAUCGGGAGGAAUACCAGUGGCGAAGGCGGCCUCCUGGACCGUUCCUGACGCUCAGACGCGAAAGCUAGGGGAGCGAACGGGAUUAGAAACCCCGGUAGUCCUAGCUGUAAACGAUGCAAACUUGGUGUUGGUGGGGUAAAAUCCGCCGGUGCCGAAGCUAACGCGAUAAGUUUGCCGCCUGGGGACUACGGCCGCAAGGUUAAA
rnacentral:rRNA from 1 species